GACGUAGGGCGCGAGCGUUGUCCGGAUUUAUUGGGCGUAAAGAGCUCGUAGGCGGUUUGUCGCGUCGAAUGUGAAAACCCGGGGCUCAACCCCGGGCCUGCAUUCGAUACGGGCAGACUAGAGUUCGGUAGGGGAGUCUGGAAUUCCUGGUGUAGCGGUGAAAUGCGCAGAUAUCAGGAGGAACACCAGUAGCGAAGGCGGCUCGCUGGGCCGUUCCUGACACUGAGACGCGAAAGCUAGGGGAGCGAACAGG
rnacentral:rRNA from 1 species